rnacentral:pre_miRNA from 14 species
CCCCAGUUCUAGGGGAUCUGACACCCUUGCACAGACACAUAAUGAAAGAUCCCACGCAGAGAUACCCUUACUCAAGUCUUGGGAAAUCGAGGACCCCAGACACAGAGAGACCA